rnacentral:rRNA from 1 species
UGGAUGAGCCCGCGGCCUAUCAGCUUGUUGGUGGGGUAAUGGCCUACCAAGGCGACGACGGGUAGCCGGCCUGAGAGGGUGUCCGGCCACACUGGGACUGAGAUACGGCCCAGACUCCUACGGGAGGCAGCAGUGGGGAAUAUUGCACAAUGGGCGCAAGCCUGAUGCAGCGACGCCGCGUGAGGGAUGACGGCCUUCGGGUUGUAAACCUCUUUAGGCGGACAAGCGCAAGGACAAGACUAUUUUUGCACCGGCCAACCAGAUGGGUUUCCUUUUUUCCUUUUUCCCUUAUGAGGGGGCCCCCCCCUA